UGCGAGGUGGAGUAGUCUGGUUAACUCGUUGGGCUCAUAACCCAAAGAUCGUAGGUUCAAAUCCUACCCUCGCUACCA
rnacentral:tRNA from 1 species